GGUUGAAAAUAGAUUAGAAUCCCUUUCUGUGGAGAUAAAGGAAGUAAAAGCUACUCAGGAUUAAAUAAAAAAUGCUAUAACUCAGCUAAAAUCUCAAAUGGAUGUCACGGUGGCAAGGAUGGAUGGGGCAGAGCAGUGAAUCAACAA